GACGAACGCUGGCGGCGUGCUUAACACAUGCAAGUCGAACGAAGUGGCGAACGGGUGAGUAACGCGUAAUCAACCUGCCCUUCAGGGGGGGACAACAGUUGGAAACGACUGCUAAUACCGCAUACUGAUGGAGGGGAUUGCGGCUGAUUAGGUAGUUGGAGGGGUAACGGCCCACCAAGGCGAAGAUCAGUAGCCGGUCUGGGGGGAUGAACCGCCAAAUUGGGACUGGGACACGGGCCAGACUCCUACGGGAGGCAGCAGUGGGGGAUCUUCCGCAAUGGACGAAAGUCUGACGGAGCAAAGCCGCGUGAGGUAUGGCGGCCUUCGGGUUGUAAAGCUCUGUUAAUCGGGACGCGGUACCGGAAUAGAAAGCCACGGCUAACUACGUGCCAGCAGCCGCGGUAAUAC
rnacentral:rRNA from 1 species